rnacentral:lncRNA from 1 species
ACAAUAGAAGUGGUAUUAAAUUUUUAUUGCAGUAAAACUUUAAGAGGGUGGGAGGGCAAACUCUCAUCAGACAUAAAUAAAAUGUGGCUAGAACCUAGAAAGUUGAUUGCUUAAAUGCUUUACAUCCAUUGCAAGGAAUAAAAAGGGUUACUAGUACACAAAAGAAAAGUCUUAGUGUACCAUUAUUUCAUAUUGAUAUUCAAAUGGAGUUUGUAGUUCAGCACACACAGUUGGCUGUGGAGAAGUUGAUGAUGGCUGUUCUUCUUUGUCACAGUAGUCAUUUUGUAUUUCUUAGAUUGACAUCCUAAAUUAGGAACCACUUGGCUAGAAAUAGCUAGGGUUCUACUGGGGAGAGGAUUUAAUUGGGAAUAUGCUCUUGGAACUUCUGAAUUUGAAGAAGUGUGGUUGUUGAAAGCAUAUCAAGUAUUUGGAAAGUAAUAUUUGCCAACCAUGUGAAAUCAACAUUAUUCCUGGGCUGGAGAUUGAGCUAUUUGGGUGCCAGGAACCCGUUGUUUCUCUUGCUUUAAAUUGCUUAACCUUUCUUGAUUUCUUCAGAUAUAAAAGUUAUCAUACUUUUCAUUAUUUAGAUCACAGAAUCUUGUGAGAACAGAAUAGAAUAAUGCAGGUCUAAGAUUCUUCAUUUGCUUUCAUUACUUAUAGGCUGAAAUCUCAAUUCUUUUGGCAAACUCAUGGUGGCUGAAAGCACGGUUUUUAGAGUUAGAUAAAUGCUCUGAGCCCAGAUUCUGACUCUGCCACACACAGCUAUGGCCUUGGACAGUUUACUUGACCUCUCCAAUCUUCAAAUUUCUUACUUAUAAAAUGGAGAUAAUGAUAAUCUCUUCCUGAGUUGGUUGGUGCGAGAGUUAUGUUGGGUAAUGUAUUUACAGUGUAAGCACAGCACUUCAUGCAUUAUCUGUGUUCAGCAGUGAUAGCUGCUGGUAUCCUCAUCACCAUGACACAUAAGGCCUUUGUUACCUGGUCUUUCCAACUUCAUCUGGCAUCAUUACCCCUAUCAAUUUAUCCUUGUUCAUCCUGAAUAUAUUUCUCUAUUGUAACACUCCUCACUCUAUUGUAACACUCCUUACCUCCUGACUUUUAUUCACCCACACCAUGCCCCAGUUUGCCUAACCAAUGUUCUUAAACAGGUUUGAUCUUACUAAAGUCUAUAUCUCUAUUGCUAUGUAUAGUCUUGCUAUUGAAAAUCCUAUUCAAAGCUGCUAUUGUUGAUUUUAUUCUGUGCUCUUCUGAGAAGUCCUACAGCUUGUAAAGAUAAACUUGAGUUGUUUAUGGAGAUGGUUUGUGUUGGAUGAGCUCUGUUCUCUUACUUACAACCCUACGACCAAUGGGCACAUGGUGUCAGCCACAUAGUGACAGAGUGGAGGGGCGGCAUGCGCUAAUGUUAGGAGGGUGUGUAGCCGAGUAUUUGACAUUGGCAUCAGGCCAGCUUACAAGUUUUUUCUUUUUGAGUGUACACAUAAAUGUUGACCAUUUGAGGAGUUAAAUGUUUGUUAUCUUCUGUGGUUACAAGUUCAUUCCAUAAAUGCCCAUGCUUAGGAGAAUCCCCAGAAAGAACAAAGGAAAAUGAUUUAGCAAUAAUCUCAUUAAUUUGGUCAAUGUAGACAUUCCAAUUGGCUAUAUCAUAUUCCUUUUAAAAUUUGAAUUGGCCAGGCACAGUGGCUCACACCUGUAAUCCCAGUACUCUGGGAGGUCGAGGCAGGCAGAUCACAAGGUCAGGAGUUCGAGACAGCAUGGCCAACAUGGUGAAACCCCGUCUCU